GAUUUUAGGGGUUAGUUUCACCCACCUCCGCUUCCUUCCCCUAAAAUGCGAAAAUCGUAACCCAACUUAAACCUAAGCUAACAAACCCUGCUAAGCGGCUAAACCUACCAUAAGAGCUGCAACCCUCUUCGUGUUCCAAAGCGUCGCCACAAUCGCCGCCUGACCACCAGCAUUUACCGCCACCACCCGUCUAAAGUGUCAUCAGCCAUUGUUUCAUCUCCCCUUCUUCGUCGCUUGGUCUUCCUAGAUUUGUUGGCGUCGCACCCUUGGUCAUCGUCGGCAAUGCAGUCUCCGUUGGUAUCACUCCAAGGUCACUCAUCCAACAACAAAAAUAUCCCAGUUCGCAUAAAAGGCUGAAAGAGAUAGGGUUUAUCCAAUCAAAACCUUUGAAGGAUUAGGAUUAAUCAAAUGCCUAGAAAACCCGGUACACCGUUAGUAGUGCAGCCGGAACUAUUGCUGCCCCUGAUAAUCAAACCCAAGCCACCUUGGAUGGAACGACAGAUACGGGAGCUAAUACUUCAAGUGCACAGCGACGUGCUAAAGCGCCUCCACUUCCGUAUUCCCGCAACAGUACUUGACAAUAUCGUGUUAAUGUUGUACUAUUUCGACCACCACACAAUAAAAGACAGUUGGCUCCAUCGAGUGACAUGGGUGACACUCGAGCUCCUGCAACACGCACAGAGCAUUGGGAUCGCGAUGAAGUUGCAGAUGUCUCUUCAGAAGAUGAAGAUUAUGACCCAGAGAAGGAUAAAGUCGAGUCGUUCGAUGACCAUGUCGACGACUUGUUUGCCGCACAUGAAGUUGAACAUCAAGGCAACGCCAUCAGAAAAUGGCGUGACAAAAAAGAUGGAUCUGACGGUUAAGGAGGCAUUAGCACUUCCUCCUGAAAGGAAGAUCUACUCCAACAUAACAAAGAGUUGCAACAAGUUGGUCAGGCAGCUGGCCUAUUAAGCGGGUUCUUUUGGAGUUUGGAAGAUGAUUUCAAUAGUUACGAAUUUGUGAAGAAAGUUGGAAGAUAAUGAACAAGGCCAUCAAAGAGCACGUGUUUGACCAGUUUAAGUGAGUCUUUCACUAUGAGGAUGAUGGAGGAGGAAGAAUAAAGCAGAGAAUCAUACAAAGAAUAGGAAGAAACUGGAAGAACACAAGAAAUAAUUUGUUUCAUAAGUUUUAUGAUAGCAAAAGGAUUUUUGAGCAAAAUGCCAACCAUAAACCAUCAGGAAUAGAUGGAAAUCACUAGAAGUGGUUUCUUGAAUAUUGAUUGAAGGAUUCGACAAAAGUACAAAUAUUCAAUUGAUUUUUCAUUCUAUUCAUGUUCAAACCCUCUGAAUUAUUGCUAAAUAUCCUGUAUUUGUUGUGAUAGUAGAAAAACUUCUACCCAAAAUACCUUUACCUUAUGCUUUUUUUCCGAAAUCGUACAUGGCUAUUUCCUAGACUUCUAACGUAUUAAUUUAUCCCGUUCACAUUUAUGUUCUUGGUUUUUUGUUUGUAUACUAAGAGAAGUGCAGAAAAAAUGCUAUAAACCGUUCAAAGCAAUGUUACACACAUACCGGAGGUUCUAAAACAUUGGCUAGAAAAAAAUACGAAAAAGAGCAACGAUAAGGAAGACCUAUUGGUAGAGGAGAGAUAUGGACUAUGUCUCAUAAAAAAAAGGAUGGCACGUAUAUAAAUGAAGAUGCGCGUGUUGUUGGUGAAGCAAUUGAGCAUAUUGAGGGCCAAGACGCAUCCAACAAAGAGCUUUCACAGAAUGAUUCCCUCGCACAAGUUCUUGGAAAGGAGCACCCAGGACGAGUUUGUGGACUGGGUUUCGGACCAUGUCCCACUCAGUGUUUUCGUAAUAUUCCACAGCAGUCAGACUCCGGUGUGCAAAUUGAGGAGUAUCAGAAGGAGAUUGCAGAACUUAAGGCAGAGGCAGCAGAGGAAAAAGCAAAGAGACAGACAAUGGAAAUUUUGUUAAGACACCUAAUCCAGCAACAAGGAGAUGAUUUGCCACCUGACGUAGCUGCGGAUCUGGAAGUUUUGGGAAGUGCACCGACCUUAUCUCGUGCAAGAUGAUAUUCUAGCACUAAUGAUCUGAAUGAAAAAUCGUGGAAUCAAGUCAACAGAAAUAGAAACACUUGAAUCUGAACAAUUUUUAAUUGUUCACUGUCUAAUGACUUUUGAGUUAUUUAUUUCUAGUUUACAGACAUUGAUGCACUGAAGACAAAUUUCUCUUAUAAUGAUUGACUUUUGGGUA